rnacentral:rRNA from 1 species
AUGAACGCUGGCGGCGUGCCUAAUACAUGCAAGUCGAGCGAACGGACGAGAAGCUUGCUUCUCUGAUGUUAGCGGCGGACGGGAGAGUAACACGUGGAUAACCUACCUAUAAUACUGGGGUGACUACGGGAAACCGUAUCUAAUACCGGAUAAUAUUUUGAACCGCAUGGAUCAAGAGUAAAAGACGGCCUUGCUGUCACUUAUAGAUGGAUCCGGGUUGCAUUAGCUAGUUGGUAAGGUAACGGCCCACCAAGGCAACGAUGCGUAGCCGGCCUGAGAGGGUGAUCAGCCACACUGGAACUGAGACACGGUCCAGACUCCUACGGGAGGCAGCAGUGGGGAAUCUUGCACAAUGGGCGCAAGCCUGACGGAGCAAUGCCGCGUGGGUGAAGAAGGUCUUCGGAUUGUAAAACCCUGUUAUUGGGGAAGAAAAGCUGUGUAUUAAUCUGUGGAUGUCUUGACGGUACCUAAACAAAAAGCCACGGCUAACUUCGUG